GUACGGGGGGGGCAAGCGUUGUUCGGAAUUACUGGGCGUAAAGGGCUCGUAGGUGGCCAACUAAGUCGGAACGUGAAAUCCCUCGGGCUUAACCGGGGACUGCGUCUGAUACUGGAUGGCUUGAGUUCGGGAGAGGGAUGCGGAAUUCCAGGUGUAGCGGUGAAAUGCGUAGAUAUCUGGAGGAACACCGGUGGCGAAGGGCGGGUGAUCCUGG
rnacentral:rRNA from 1 species